CUUUAGUGGCGAACGGGUGAGUAACGCGUGAGUAACCUGCCCUAGAGUGGGGGACAACAGUUGGAAACGACUGCUAAUACCGCAUAAGCCCACGGUACCGCAUGGUACUGAGGGAAAAGGAUUUAUUCGCUUUAGGAUGGACUCGCGUCCAAUUAGCUAGUUGGUGAGGUAACGGCCCACCAAGGCGACGAUUGGUAGCCGGACUGAGAGGUUGAACGGCCACAUUGGGACUGAGACACGGCCCAG
rnacentral:rRNA from 1 species